CCGUACAAUAAAUAAGAAUCACAAGUGUGACAUCUUCUGCUUCCACUUCGUCAUCCCACCACCGGAAUCUCGCCGGAGGAGGCAUCUCCGUCACCUCCUGAAUAAACAAUUCACAACAAAACACCUACAAAAAUGGUUUCAAUCUCCCUUUCACUUUCACCAAACCCUAACCACCUAUUAAACGAAACCGUUUUCUCCAGCCACUUUAUCCACCGUAUCGCCACCGUUUCCACUCUCUCCGGCCGCCAUAUGAUUGAUAGAACUUCGUUAUCAACGUCACCGGUAAACUAUCGGAGAGAGAAAGUUGCCGCCGUACGGACGGUUUCUGAUUCACACUCGUACGACGUCGUUGUAGUUGGCGCCGGAAUAAUCGGAUUGAGUAUUGCACGGCAGCUACUUAACGGAUCGGAUUUGUCCGUCGCCGUCGUCGACGCCGCCGUUCCGUGUUCCGGCGCUACCGGUGCAGGACAGGGCUACAUAUGGAUGGUUAAUAAGGUUCCGGGAAGCGAGAAAUGGGAGUUAGUAAUGAGAAGCCGUCAACUAUGGGAGAAAUUUGCGGAGGAUGUAAAGUAUCUGGGAAUGGAUCCUCAAGAGGUUCUUGGCUGGAAGAAGACAGGAAGCUUGUUGGUUGGUAAAACAUCGCAGGAAAUGGCAGCACUGAAAGAGAAGGUAGAGCAGCUAUCGAAAGCCGGGCUCAAGGCAGAGCUCUUGUCCAGCACCGAACUGCAGGAUUUAGAACCUGCACUUGUGAUUGGUGAGGAAGGCGGGGCUGCAUUUUUACCAGAUGAUUACCAACUGGAUGCUCGGCGUUCUGUUGCAUACAUUGAAAAGGAGAACAGGAAGUAUGCAACUGAAGGAAGAUACGGGGAGUAUUAUAAUCAGCCAUUGACUGGUUUGUUAAGGUCUGGUAAUGGUAAGAUUGAAGCCGUUCAGACGUCGAAAAAUUUAUUGUAUAGCAAGAAGGCAAUAGUAAUUGCCACUGGAUGCUGGACAGGCUCUUUGAUGCAAGAGCUGAUUAGGGAUUUCGGUAUUGAGUUUGAAGUCCCUGUAAAGCCCCGAAAGGGUCACCUACUGGUGAUAGAGAAUUUCAGCUCCUUCAAACUGAAUCAUGGUUCAAUGGAGGUAGGCUACCUUGGUCAUCGGGAUGCAAAUGAAACCUCAUCUAUUUCAAUGACUGCCACCAUGGAUACAUCGGGAAAUCUCGUUCUUGGAAGCAGCCGACAGUUUGUUGGAUUUAGCACAGAGAUAUCCAAGCAUAUCAUCAAUCAGAUAUGGGAACGUGCCGGGGAGUUUUUUCCUUCUUUAAGAGAACUUUCACUAACAGAUUUGGAGAAGACCAGAGAAGUCAGAGUAGGGCUAAGACCCUUCAGUAAUGCCUGGUGGAAAGCCUAUGAUUGGUCUUGUUCCUGGAUUGUCAAAUGCAUUCCUCGCUGCAGGCCAUGAGGGAGAAGGAUUGACUCUGGCCCUUGGAACUGCUGAAAUGGUUGCUGAUAUGGUUUUGGGCAAUCCCCCCAAAGUUGAUAAUGCACCCUAUGCGUUACAUACUCUUUCUUCUUGACAACAGGUGCUCGUGUGCUUUGAAUUAUGCUAACAAUGAGACUGCAUCCGGCUUCCAACUUCUUAGCAUUGUGUAACAUUAGUUUAACACGUGUGUACGCGUAUGUGUGUGAUCGCUUCACUAAAUAAAUACUUCUACUGUUUUGCAUGUUUUUUUUUUGUUAUCCCUGCCAAAUUGUGUCAGGUUAAAACAAUGUCUUAUAAAAUAAUCUUGAAAGCCAAUGAAAAAUAUUACAAUA